GGGGAAAAGUAUACGGAGGGAGUACCUUUUGGACAAAGGCCUUAUGUUUAGAAGCUAUAUGUCAACCCUCAGAAUUGAGCCAUGGUCCCAUGGAAAACGCUUUUGGAAUGCAGGAUUUCAAGCAGCGUGUGGAAAUGUGAUUCCAUUCGUUGGUCGCAUUUCAACACAUUGUGAAUGAGCAGUCGAACACAUUGAGCUCAUGCAUUGAUCGCUAGACGGGUAAGAGUAGCCUUUAUUGAGCUAGUGGGAAGUCGUCUAGAAAAGUAAAGAGAUGGGAAAAGUCUGAUGUGCCGCGUGUAGCGCUGAGUGUUCCACCGUGUUUAGUUUGGAUAAAAGGAGCUAAGGAUAAGAAAGACUUGUUUUAGCCACUUAUUCUAAUGGUCAUUUCACUAUGAUAUUUAAUGAAGUUAUG
rnacentral:lncRNA from 1 species